UACGGGGGGAGCAAGCGUUGUUCGGAUUUACUGGGCGUAAAGGGCGCGUAGGCGGUCAGCACAAGUCAGUUGUGAAAUCUCCGGGCUUAACUCGGAACGGUCAAGUGAUACUGUCGGACUAGAGUACAGAAGGGGCAACUGGAAUUCUCGGUGUAGCGGUGAAAUGCGUAGAUAUCGAGAGGAACACCUGCGGCGAAGGCGGGUUGCUGGGCUGAUACUGACGCUGAGGCGCGAAAGCCAGGGGAGCGAACGGG
rnacentral:rRNA from 1 species